UAUUAGAUAGUUGGUGAGGUAAUGGCUUACCAAGUCGAUGAUGUGUAGCUGGUCUGAGAGGAUGAUCAGCCAGACUGGAACUGAGACACGGUCCAGACUCCUACGGGAGGCAGCAGUGAGGAAUAUUUCACAAUGAGCGAAAGCUUGAUGGAGCAAUGCCGCGUGCAGGAUGAAGGCCCUCGGGUUGUAAACUGCUUUUAUAAGAGAAGAUUAUGACGGUAACUUAUGAAUAAGGGACGGCUAACUACGUGCCAGCAGCCGCGGUCAUACGUAGGUCCCGAGCGUUAUCCGGAGUGACUGGGCGUAAAGAGUUGCGUAGGCGGUCAAGUUAGCGAGCGAUGAAAACUAUCGGCUCAACCGAUAGCUUGUUGUUCGAACUGCUUGACUCGAGAGUAUCAGAGGUCGCUGGAAUUCCUAGUGUAGCAGUGAAAUGCGUAGAUAUUAGGAAGAACACCGAUGGCGUAGGCAGGCGACUGGGAUAUUUCUGACGCUAAGGCACGAAAGCGUGGGUAGCGAACCGGAUUAGAUACCCGGGUAGUCCACGCCGUAAACGAUGGAUGCUAAUUGUUUGAGGUAUCGACCCCUCGAGUAAUAAAGCUAACGCGUUAAGCAUCCCGCCUGUGGAGUACGGCCGCAAGGCUAAAACAUAAAGGAAUUGACGGGGACCCGCACAAGCGGUGGAUUAUGUUCUUUAAUUCGAUGAUAACCGAAGAACCUUACCAGGGCUUGACAUCCAGGGAAGGUCUGCGAAAGUAGACUGUGCCUUUUGGAACCCUGUGACAGGUGAUGCAUGGCCGUCGUCAGCUCGUGUCGUGAGAUGUUAGGUUAAGUCCUUCAACGAGCGCAACCCUUGUGAAUAGUUGUAUUUUUCUAUUCAGACUGCCCCGGUAACGGGGAGGAAGGAGGGGAUGAUGUCAGGUCAGUAUUUCCCUUACGUCCUGGGCUAGAAACGUAAUACAAUGGCUAGUACAAUGCGCAGCGAAGCCGCGAGGUGAAGCAAAUCGCAUCA
rnacentral:rRNA from 1 species